rnacentral:lncRNA from 1 species
CCCAGUAUUUUUUAUAAAUCUGAAAAAAAUCCUCGUUGAUUUUUACGCCUUUGGAGUUGCGCAGAAUAUGUAUCUCAACUUUGCUCCUUUUUCAGGCCAGAAUUCCAGCUGCCGGCAUUCUCCCUCUUCAUGUAAACCUUGCAAAAUAAGAGAGAAAUGCAUAAGUAUUGUAUCGUGAAGUGAAAUAACAGUCCAAGAAGCGAU